rnacentral:rRNA from 1 species
GUAAGGAAUAUUGGACAAUGGACGCAAGUCUGAUCCAGCCAUGCCGCGUGAAGGAUUAAGGUCCUCUGGAUUGUAAACUUCUUUUAUAAGGGACGAAAAAAGGCUUUUCUAAGUCGUCUGACGGUACCUUAUGAAUAAGCACCGGCUAACUCCGUGCCAGCAGCCGCGGUAAUACGGAGGGUGCAAGCGUUAUCCGGAUUCACUGGGUUUAAAGGGUGCGUAGGCGGGCAGGUAAGUCAGUGGUGAAAUCCUAGAGCUUAACUCUAGAACUGCCAUUGAUACUAUCUGGCUUGAAUAUUGUGGAGGUAAGCGGAAUAUGUCAUGUAGCGGUGAAAUGCUUAGAUAUGACAUAGAACACCUAUUGCGAAGGCAGCUUACUACGCAUAUAUUGACGCUGAGGCACGAAAGCGUGGGGAUCAAACAGGAUUAGAAACCCUAGUAGUCC